GCAUAAUGGCUGUGUGACAUCUCGCAAAGUGUCAGCUGUUACGUGACGCCCUGUGGUGACGUCUGGACCUUUUGGCCAGAGUUCCAGUCAUUUGCUGAUGACCAUUAACAGAAAGCCCCUCAAAUUACAUCAACUUCAAGCUUCUCAAAUCUGGAUGACUCCUGGCUUCCCCCACAGACCCUGAAUCAAAGCCUCCCUUCUUCGUCUUUUAGCCCCAUUGGUCAGCACAGACCAGAUGCCCAGUGCAAGCUCAAUAAAUACCUGUUGGAAAAUAUAUCAUCCCUAAGCCUCAUGAUGUCACACUAUGGGUUCACUUUAUUUUAAUGCAAUCUGAGGGUGAGACUAAAGGCACUGAGGAAUGCUCCAAAGCCAAUUACAACUC